rnacentral:ncRNA from 1 species
AGGUAUGAGGAAUAAAGACAGCGGGACGGUGGUCAUGAAAGUCGAAAUCCGCUAAGGAGUGUGUAACAACUCACCUACCGAAUCAACUAGCCCCGAAAAUGGAUGGCGCUUAA